CCUACGGGCGGCAGCAGUAGGGAAUAUUGCUCAAUGGGGGAAACCCUGAAGCAGCAACGCCGCGUGGAGGAUGAAGGUUUUCGGAUUGUAAACUCCUUUUGUUAGAGAAGAUAAUGACGGUAUCUAACGAAUAAGAACCGGCUAACUCCGUGCCAGCAGCCGCGGUAAUACGGAGGGUGCAAGCGUUACUCGGAAUCACUGGGCGUAAAGAGCGCGUAGGCGGGAUAGCAAGUCAGAUGUGAAAUCCUAUGGCUUAACCAUAGAACUGCAUUUGAAACUGUUAUUCUAGAGUAUGGGAGAGGUAGGUGGAAUGCUUGGUGUAGGGGUAAAAUGCGUAGAGAUCAAGAGGAUUACUCAUUGCGAAGGCGACCUGCUAGAACAUAACUGACGCUGAUGCGCGAAAGCGUGGGGAGCAAACAGGAUUAGAUACCCCGGUAGUC
rnacentral:rRNA from 1 species